GAUGAACGCUGGCGGCGUGCCUAAUACAUGCAAGUCGAGCGAACAGAUGAGGAGCUUGCUCCUCUGACGUUAGCGGCGGACGGGUGAGUAACACGUGGAUAACCUACCUAUAAGACUGGGAUAACUUCGGGAAACCGGAGCUAAUACCGGAUAAUAUAUUGAACUGCAUGGUUCAAUAGUGAAAGACGGUUUUGCUGUCACUUUUAGAUGGUUCCGCGCCGCAUUAGCUAGUUGGUAAGGUAACGGCUUACCAAGGCAACGAUGCGUAGCCGACCUGAGAGGGUGAUCGGCCACACUGGAACUGAGACACGGUCAAGACUCAUACGGGAGGCAGCAGUAGGGAAUCUGCCGCAACGGGCGAAAGCCUGACGGAGCAACGCCGCGUGAGUGAUGAAGGUCUUCGGAUCGUAAAACUCUGUUAUUAGGGAAGAACAAAUGUGUAAGUAACUAUGCACGUCUUGACGGUACCUAAACAGAAAGCAACGGCUAACUACGUG
rnacentral:rRNA from 1 species